rnacentral:tRNA from 1 species
GUGGUUGUAGCUCAAUGGUAGAGCACAGGUCUGUGGAGCCUGGAGUUGCGGGUUCGAGUCCCGUCAGCCACC